GAUAUUAUGAAAAUCGAAAAUCGAUUAUUUUUCUCGCGAGAGUAACUUUCGUAAAAUUCGAUCUGUGACACUCGAUUUCAAGAGUCAUGGCGAUAAGUAGAACGCUAUUUGUAAAUGAUGACGUUUUAAAUUAUUUACUCGAGUGUAACAGGUGUAACUGUUUUAUCAAGAUUUCCCUUCUUUUUCCGCUUUUCUUUCCUCUUCCAUCUCCAUCUCGUUCCGAACCAUAGUACGACAAUCGAUCGGUAACGUUGUGUCUCGCGUAUGCGUACUGUUGGAUUUCUCUCUGGAUAUUGCCUUUUUCUUUUAAAUAUUGAUGGAGAAUUUUGAAUCACAAACGUGCCAAAGAUUUUCUUUGAAAAGUUCUUUCAAAGAUUCUUAAAAUUUCUCAAUAAAAAACCAUCGCAUCUUUAUUUAUAACACGCUUAUCAACCUAUCUUUCAUCCAUGAAUACUGUGUAAAUAGAUUUUCACUUUAAAUGCAGAUCAAUCUUAAUUAACUCGUCCCGAUUUUUCUUCAAUCACUCAGAUAUAUGAUUGCAUAUUCAUUAAGGAGUUUUCUAAUGAUCUGUACGUUUUUUUUAUAAUUCUUUUCCUUUUAAUCAUCAUGCUCAUACACAAAAGACAGAAGAGGAUUAUAAAUACAAAUAUAUAUAUAUAUUUUGAAUAUUAAUGCACAUAUAAUUUAAAAGAAAUAUGCAUAACAAAGAAAACUUGAGAGAAGACUUACCAGGCGUGAGAGACAUAGUCUGCUGCCUUCUUGACCUCGAAUUGUCACGUUUUCCAUUCGAAGACUGAGAUCCCGACACUUGUAAUCCCGGAGCACUGACCGCACGUUUCGGUCCUCCCAGUACACCAGGAACGUUGCUGUUCCUCGCGAAUCCUGGAGGGCGAUAUCUGGCCGAUUUCACGCCAGAAUGUUGAGGCAGAAAAUGAUAGACGCUGUGCGCUUUGUGCAUCGUCG